AGGGCGCAGGAGGCGAUCUUCAGAGGUACUUCUGCAGGACCUGCUAGAUAGUCAGGAGGAGAGAUCAAGAGAUGACGAUGACAACCCACGUUGGAUAUCUGACAUUGUAUAAUCUCUCAGAGAGUCCCAACGUACUUGUUGUGUUCCAACUGCAUGUGGCUGGCUCAAUCAGUCCCGACUGUGGACUUAAUUAAUACAAUUUCCAUUCUUUUAUGUUUAUGUAUAGCUUAUUAAAUAUUAUAUUUAUGGUUU